rnacentral:rRNA from 1 species
UACGAAGGGGGCUAGCGUUGUUCGGAUUUACUGGGCGUAAAGCGCACGUAGGCGGAUCUUUAAGUCAGAGGUGAAAUCCCAAGGCUCAACCUUGGAACUGCCUUUGAUACUGGGGAUCUUGAGUCCGGGAGAGGUGAGUGGAACUGCGAGUGUAGAGGUGAAAUUCGUAGAUAUUCGCAAGAACACCAGUGGCGAAGGCGGCUCACUGGCCCGGUACUGACGCUGAGGAGCGAAAGCGUGGGGAGCAAACAGG